CCUACGUGAGGCUGCAGUGAGGAAUAUUGGUCAAUGGACGAGAGUCUGAACCAGCCAAGUAGCGUGAAGGAUGACUGCUCUAUGGUUUGUAAACUUCUUUUAUAUGGGCAUAAAAUAGGGUAUGUAUACCUUCUUGUAUGUACCAUAUGAAUAAGCAUCGGCUAACUCCGUGCCAGCAGCCGCGGUAAUACGGAGGAUGCGAGCGUUAUCCGGAUUUAUUGGGUUUAAAGGGUGCGUAGGUGGUUAGUUAAGUCAGUUGUGAAAGUUUGCGGCUCAACCGUAAAAUUGCAGUUGAAACUGGUAGUCUUGAGUAUAUUAGAGGUGGGCGGAAUGCGUGGUGUAGCGGUGAAAUGCUUAGAUAUCACGAAGAACUCCGAUUGCGAAGGCAGCUUACUAAACUGCAACUGACACUGAUGCUCGAAAGUGUGGGUAUCAAACAGGAUUAGAUACCCGAGUAGUC
rnacentral:rRNA from 1 species